rnacentral:rRNA from 1 species
GAUGAACGCUGGCGGCGUGCCUAAUACAUGCAAGUCGAGCGAACAGACGAGGAGCUUGCUCCUCUGAUGUUAGCGGCGGACGGGUGAGUAACACGUGGAUAACCUACCUAUAAGACUGGGAUAACUUCGGGAAACCGGAGCUAAUACCGGAUAACAUGUUGAACCGCAUGGUUCAACAGUGAAAGACGGUCUUGCUGUCACUUAUAGAUGGAUCCGCGCCGCAUUAGCUAGUUGGUAAGGUAACGGCUUACCAAGGCAACGAUGCGUAGCCGACCUGAGAGGGUGAUCGGCCACACUGGAACUGAGACACGGUCCAGACUCCUACGGGAGGCAGCAGUAGGGAAUCUUCCGCAAUGGGCGAAAGCCUGACGGAGCAACGCCGCGUGAGUGAAGAAGGUCUUCGGAUCGUAAAACUCUGUUAUCAGGGAAGAACAAAUGUGUAAGUAACUAUGCACGUCUUGACGGUACCUAAUCAGAAAGCCACGGCUAACUACGUG